GCGCCCCUACGGGGCGCAGCAGUGGGGGAUAUUGCACAAUGGGGGAAACCCUGAUGCAGCGACGCCGCGUGAGCGAUGAAGUAUUUCGGUAUGUAAAGCUCUAUCAGCAGGGAAGAAAAUGACGGUACCUGACUAAGAAGCCCCGGCUAACUACGUGCCAGCAGCCGCGGUAAUACGUAGGGGGCAAGCGUUAUCCGGAUUUACUGGGCGUAAAGGGAGCGUAUACGGCAGUGCAAGUCUGAAGUGAAAGGCAAGGGCUCAACCC
rnacentral:rRNA from 1 species